UAGGGAAUCUUCGGCAAUGGGGGGAACCCUGACCGAGCAACGCCGCGUGAGUGAAGAAGGUUUUCGGAUCGUAAAGCUCUGUUGUUAAGGAAGAACGAGUGUGAGAAUGGAAAGUUCAUGCUGUGACGGUACUUAACCAGAAAGGGACGGCUAACUACGUGCCAGCAGCCGCGGUAAUACGUAGGUCCCGAGCGUUGUCCGGAUUUAUUGGGCGUAAAGCGAGCGCAGGCGGUUAGAAAAGUCUGAAGUGAAAGGCAGUGGCUCAACCAUUGUAGGCUUUGGAAACUGGUGAACUGGAAUGCAGAAGGGGAGAGUGGAAUUCCAUGUGUAGCGGUGAAAUGCGUAGAUAUAUGGAGGAACACCGGUGGCGAAAGCGGCUCUCUGGUCUGUAGCUGACGCUGAGGCUCGAAAGCGUGGGGAGCGAACAGG
rnacentral:rRNA from 1 species